rnacentral:rRNA from 1 species
UACGGAGGGAGCUAGCGUUGUUCGGAAUUACUGGGCGUAAAGCGCACGUAGGCGGCGACUCAAGUCAGAGGUGAAAGCCCGGAGCUCAACUCCGGAACUGCCUUUAAGACUGCAUCGCUAGAAUUGUGGAGAGGUGAGUGGAAUUCCGAGUGUAGAGGUGAAAUUCGUAGAUAUUCGGAAGAACACCAGUGGCGAAGGCGACUCACUGGACACAUAUUGACGCUGAGGUGCGAAAAGCGUGGGGAGCAAACAGG